UUCCGGUUGAUCCUGCCGGAGGCCAUUGCUAUCGGAGUCCGAUUUGGCCAUGCUAGUCGCGCGAGUUCAGACUCGCGGCACCGAGCUCAGUAACACGUGGCCAAACUACCCUACAGAGACGGAUACCCUCGGGAAACUGAGGUUAACCCGUCAUACCGAUCUCAGGCUUGAAUCGCAGAGAUCACAAAACGCCCCGGCGCUGUAGGAUGUGGCUGCGGUUGAUUAGGUAGACGGUGGGGUAACGGCCCACCGUGCCCAUAAUCAGUACAGGUUGUGAGAGCAAGAACCUGGAGACGGAAUCUGAGACAAGAUUCCGGGCCCUACGGGGCGCAGCAGGCGCGAAACCUUUACACUGCACGCACGUGCGAUAAGGGGACUCCGAGUGCGAGGGCAUAUCGUCCUCGCUUUCGUGUACCGUAGGGCGGUACACCAACAAGGGCUGAGCAAGACCGGUGCCAGCCGCCGCGGUAAUACCGGCAGCCCGAGUGAUGGCCGAUCUUAUUGGGCCUAAAGCGUCCGUAGCUGGCUGCGCAAGUCCGUCGGGAAAUCCACUCGCCCAACGAGUGGGCGUCCGACGGAAACUGCACAGCUUGGGACCGGAAGGCUCGAAGGGUACGUUCGGGGUAGGAGUGAAAUCCCAUAAUCCCGCACGGACCACCGAUGGCGAAAGCACUUCGAGAAAACGGAUCCGACAGUGAGGGACGAAAGCCAGGGUCUCCAACCGGAUUAGAUACCCGGGUAGUC
rnacentral:rRNA from 1 species